rnacentral:misc_RNA from 1 species
GUGAAUCAUCGAAUCUUUGAACGCACAUUGCGCCCUUUGGUAUUCCGAAGGGCAUGCCUGUUCGAGCGUCAUUAUCACCCCUCAAGCCCCUGGCUUGGUGUUGGACGGUUUGGUGGAGGCCCCCUCGGGGGCUCCUGCCCCUCCCAAAGACAAUGACGGCGGCCUCGUUGGACCCCCGGUACACUGAGUUCUUCACGGGACACGUAUCGGACACAUGGGUUUACGGGACACGGUCUGCCUCCCCUCAGGGAGAAUCUUUCUAAGGUUGACCUCGGAUCAGGUAGGGAUACCCGCUGAACUUAAGCAUAUCAAUAAGCGGAGGA